rnacentral:rRNA from 1 species
AUACGUAGGGUGCGAGCGUUGUCCGGAAUUACUGGGCGUAAAGAGCUCGUAGGUGGUUUGUCGCGUCGUCGGUGAAAUUCCGGGGCUUAACUCCGGGCGUGCAGGCGAUACGGGCAUAACUUGAGUACUGUAGGGGAGACUGGAAUUCCUGGUGUAGCGGUGAAAUGCGCAGAUAUCAGGAGGAACACCGGUGGCGAAGGCGGGUCUCUGGGCAGUAACUGACGCUGAGGAGCGAAAGCAUGGGUAGCGAACAGGAUUAGAUACCCUGGUAGUCCAUGCCGUAAACGGUGGGCGCUAGGUGUAGGGGUCUUCCACGACUUCUGUGCCGUAGCUAACGCAUUAAGCGCCCCGCCUGGGGAGUACGGCCGCAAGGCUGAAACUCAAAUGAAUUGACGGGG